UCCGGUGUAGUGUAACGGUUAACAUACCGCGUUUUCAACUUGCUCCAAGUUGGAGCGAGGACAUCCGCGGCGCUCGGGGUUCGAUUCCCCGCACCGGAG
rnacentral:tRNA from 1 species